UAGCAGCUGAACAUCCGCAGUGCUAUUUAAACUCGGGUCCUAAAAGACACAUUACUGUUGGACUGUCAGAGAGAGCAGACCACUUAUCUCUGGAAAAAUGAUCAUUUUUAUCAUCAUCGGCGUCGUUGCAGUCAUCAUUCUGAUAUCCGUAUGUGUGUGCUGUGCUCGCAAGAAAUCUAGGAGUCAAGACCGUGGACAUGCUGACAAUCAUGAUCACUGUACUAACAGAGAAAUGCCGCAGAUUGUUCCUGU